rnacentral:lncRNA from 1 species
AAAGAACUCGGCCACUCAGAGACUCUGGCUGGACCUGACCUCCCAUAAGUAUGAACUCUACCUCAACCCACUUCCUAGAGUGCACAGCAGGGAACACAGGGGCUGCUGCUGCUGCUCAGGGGACACGGCAGGGUCUACCGAGCCCAGCCCAGACUUACUUGAUCACCUGCUCUUCCCGUUUGGCCUGCUCUUCUGCCUGCUCAGCUUCUGUCACGUCCUGGGAUAAAAUCAGGGUCAGACAAGCCCAAGUGCUGUCUGUCCUUUCCCCUGCCUCAUCCCAUCCCGUAGGUUCACACCUUCCAGAGAAUGAUUCGGGAGUCACUGCCGCCGGUGAUGGCGUGAUCAUCCAGCCGGCUGCAGUGCAGCCCCCAGACCUUGUCCUCGUGAGCAUCCAGGGUCCGCACACACUCAUUGCUCUUAAUGGUCCACAGCUUCAGGAGCCCAUCAGAACCACUGCGGUUGAGAAUGGAAGGACUCAGUGUAGGGGCAUGUCCCUCACCACGCACCCCCCAGCCCACUCCUAGCCCCUUCACCUAGACAGCAGCUGUGCGCCACGGCUCACAAAGGCCACCUUCAGUACAGAAGCAUCGUGCCCCUCAAAUGUCUGCGGGGGAGAAAUAAAGGACCCAAGUCUUACCGGUAUGAGAA